UAGGUCAGUUCUUUUUCCCAUGAGAUAUUUCACAUUUUCUUCUAUUUUUUCAUUCUUUUUACUUUGAUUGUUUCUAGAUGUCUCAUGAAGUCAUUAGCUUCCACUUGCCUAAUUCUAAUUUUUUUCUUUAAAUCCUUACCUCCUAUCUUAGAAUCAAUACUUUGUAUUGGUAUUAAGGCAGAAGAAUGGUAAGGGCUAGGCAUUGGGGGUAGGAUUAAGUGACUUGCUCAGGGUCACACAGUUAGUAGUAUUUGAGGCUAGAUUUGAACUCAAGGCCUCUCCUCUCUGGACCUAGGUCUCAAACCACUAGGCAACCUAGCUGCUCCCCCAAUUCUAAUUUUUAAGGCAUAUUUUCUGGAGUGAGCUUUUGUACUUCCUUUUCCAUUUGGCCAAUUUUACUUUUUAAAGAGUUCUUAUCCUCAAUUAAUUUUUGUGCCUAUUUCCCCAAAGGGAAAGUUUGUCUCUUCAGUACAUAUUGUGGAAAUGCUAAAAUGAAUGCAAUAACUGGAUUUUGCAAGGUGAUCUCAUGAAGAGAUGGGAUGGAACACUGACUGCCAAUGGGGGAUGGGAAAUGGAAUAUUCCAGCUAAGAAAAGGAAGAGCAGUUAGACUGCUGGCUCUUUUCUCUUUGACUUGAAGAGGGAAGGAGAAAAAUCUUCAUUGAGCUUACUUAGAUACCAACCUAUAAAUCCCUUGUUGAGCAGGAAAAGGUCCAGAUUAUUUAUCUGUUUUACAGUUGGUGGGAUAGAGAUUUUUUCCCUUCCCCAGAAGGCAAUAGCCUAUCCUUCAGAAGAUUCAUUCAAGCCAUAUUUCUGUGACGAGAAAUACCACCCUCUUGAAACUACAAAGACAUUAUCCAGAGCCUUCCAAAAGGAUCCAUGACCCCAAAAAAGGAUAUUGUGUGAAUACCCAUCUCACCCCAUCUCCUUCAAUCCUGGAACCUUGAAUCAUAAUAAAAUCAACUCUGACAAUGUUCCUGGCUAGAAU
rnacentral:lncRNA from 1 species